rnacentral:lncRNA from 1 species
AAGCCAUGACAAAACCCCAAAGGCUGGAGUGUUAAACAACAGAAAGCCUAUCUAAAUUCAACUCCCACGGACAUACUUCACCCCGUCGCAGAAGAAUAAGGCCGAUCCUCACUGAUAGGCUCCAUCCCCUUGCACACGACCUCAGCCCGGGCAGCAGGUCGCAAGAAAGACACUGUCCUCACCCAGCACUCCCUCCGUGUCCCCGGUACCCGCAGUCACAAGAUGGAAGAAGCCUGGGCCGGGCUCACUCUGCGACCCACACUGCGUCUCCGUCCUCCAGCCCCUGCCACAGGUAGCCUUCUGACGUCGGUGAAUUUGGGACGUUCUCUUGUCCCCAUACAAUUAAUUGUAUAUCUUCCCGAACUGUCACCAUCCUUCCAUUCAUUUGUUCCCUCGUGGGGCCCCUUAGAGGGGGUUGGGUGGUCAGUAACAAGGAGCGGAUCGCGAGAACUGGGGCAAUCAUUCCACGCUGAGGGAACAGCGAGCGCCAAGCUCGGCUUGCUCCUGGAGCCUUGUUCAAAGCCGGCCGGACACCCUUUCACCUGCCCGGUUCUCUCCCAGGCGGGGCCUCGGACCCAGGGCAGGAAGGGCCAGACCCAUCGCUCCUGGACUCCUCCAUCACCAAAGGGCAACGCAGCCUCCACCACCACCACCUCCCCAGCCCCGGGGGCAACAUGAUGUGGAACUUCACACCCGGGGCAGGGGGUGGCGAUGGGAAUGCAGCAGCCCUUUGCCGUCGUGCACACCAGCGACUGCUGCCACGUCGCCUUUUCCAGCCUAUAAAGGCUCUGUCCUUGUCGACUGUGCCGGCAAGCAGGGUUGGGACUGUCGGGGUCUCUCCACGACUCACUUGAGCCUCAGAGAGGUCAGGCAAGGUCAGCUGCUGUGCCCGGCAUUCUAGCCGGCGACAUCAGGCACCAGUAGUGUGAACGCGCUGACGGGUGUCAGCGACAGGCAGCUCGUUUGAGGGUAUAGCAUCCGGUGUAGCCCUGGGGCCUCUCC